rnacentral:rRNA from 1 species
CGAGAAAGGUUCCUUCGGGGUGUGAGUAAAGUGGCGGACGGGUGAGUAAUGCAUAGACAACCUGCCCUCGAAACGGGGACAACACUUCGAAAGGAGUGCUAAUACCCGAUAUUGUCUCGAGAUCGUGGUUUCGAGAUAAAAGGGAGGCCUCUGAUUAAGCUUCCGUUCGAGGAGGGGUUUAUGUCCUAUUAGCUUGUUGGUGAGGUAAUGGCUCACCAAGGCAACGAUGGGUAGCCGGCCUGAGAGGGUGAUCGGCCACAUUGGGACUGAGACACUGCCCAGACUCCUACGGGAGGCUGCAGUCGAGAAUCUUCCGCAAUGCGCGCAAGCGUGACGGAGCGACGCCGCGUGGGUGAUGAAGGCCUUCGGGUUGUAAAGCCCUGUUACCUGCUAUGAAUGGCCGGUGGUGAAUAGCCAUCCGGUUUGACGUAAGUAGGAGAGGAAGCACCGGCUAAAUACGUGCCAGCAGCCGCGGUAAUACGUAUGGUGCGAACGUUGUUCGGAUUCACUGGGCAUAAAGAGCGCGUAGGCGGUUCGGUAAGUCUGUUGUGAAAGCCCUCGGCCCAACCGAGGAACUGCAAUGGAUACUGCCGGACUAGAGUGCAGGAGGGGAGAGUGGAAUUCCUGGUGGAGCGGUGAAAUGCGUAGAUAUCAGGAGGAACGCCGGUGGCGAAAGCGACUCUCUGGCCUGCAACUGACGCUGAGGCGCGAAAGCUAGGGGAGCGAACGGGAUUAGAUACCCCGGUAGUCCUAGCCCUAAACGAUGGGCACUAGGUAGAGGGAGUUCCGAUACUUUCUCUGCUGCAGCUAAUGUAUUAAGUGCCCCGCCUGGGGAGUAUGGUCGCAAGGCUAAAACUCAAAGGAAUUGACGGGGGCUCACACAAGCGGUGGAGCAUGUUGUUUAAUUCGAAGCAACGCGAAGAACCUUACCUGGGUUUGACAUGCUUGGGAUCGCCUAUGAAAGUCUCGGUGCCUUCGGGAACUGAGAGACAGGUGCUGCAUGGCUGUCGUCAGCUCGUGUCGUGAGAUGUUGGGUUAAGUCCCGCAACGAGCGCAACCCUUAUCCUUAGUUACCAGCGAGUUAAGUCGGGGACUCUAAGGAGACUGCCGGUGACAAACCGGAGGAAGGUGGGGACGACGUCAAGUCAUCAUGGCCCUUAUGGGCAGGGCUACACACGUGCUACAAUGGUCGGUACAGAGGGUUGCCAAGCCGCGAGGUGGAGCUAAUCCCAGAAAGCCGAUCUUAGUCCGGAUUGCAGUCUGCAACUCGACUGCAUGAAGUCGGAAUCGCUAGUAAUCGCGAAUCAGAACGUCGCGGUGAAUACGUUCCCGGGCCUUGUACACACCGCCCGUCACACCAUGGGAGUGGGUUGCAAAAGAAGUGGGUAGACUAACCUUCGGGAGGUC